GACGAACGCUGGCGGCGUGCUUAACACAUGCAAGUCGAACGGAAAGGCCCUGCUUUUGUGGGGUGCUCGAGUGGCGAACGGGUGAGUAACACGUGAGUAACCUGCCCUUGACUUUGGGAUAACUUCAGGAAACUGGGGCUAAUACCGGAUAAGAGCUCCUGCUGCAUGGUGGGGGUUGGAAAGUUUCGGCGGUUGGGGAUGGACUCGCGGCUUAUCAGCUUGUUGGUGGGGUAGUGGCUUACCAAGGCUUUGACGGGUAGCCGGCCUGAGAGGGUGACCGGCCACAUUGGGACUGAGAUACGGCCCAGACUCCUACGGGAGGCAGCAGUGGGGAAUAUUGCACAAUGGGCGGAAGCCUGAUGCAGCAACGCCGCGUGCGGGAUGACGGUCUUCGGGUUGUAAACCGCUUUCGCCUGUGACGAAGCGUGAGUGACGGUAAUGGGUAAAGAAGCACCGGCUAACUACGUG
rnacentral:rRNA from 1 species